GACAGAGGGUGCAAACGUUGUUCGGAAUUACUGGGCGUAAAGCGAGUGUAGGCGGUUCGGUAAGUCGGAUGUGAAAGCCCCGGGCUCAACCCGGGAAGUGCACUCGAUACUGCCGAGCUAGAGUAUCGGAGAGGUUGGUGGAAUUCCCGGUGUAGCGGUGGAAUGCGUAGAGAUCGGGAAGAACAUCGGUGGCGAAGGCGGCCUGCUGGGCUGUUGCUGACGCUGAGGCGCGACAGCGUGGGGAGCAAACAGG
rnacentral:rRNA from 1 species